AAAGGCACGACAUUGCUCACAUUGCUUCCAGUAUUAUUUUCAAGCCAGCUCGGGUGCUGGCUUUUUUUU
rnacentral:antisense_RNA from 1 species